GACGAACGCUGGCGGCGUGCUUAACACAUGCAAGUCGAACGGAAAGGCCCUGCUUUUGUGGGGUGCUCGAGUGGCGAACGGGUGAGUAACACGUGAGUAACCUGCCCUUGACUUUGGGAUAACUUCAGGAAACUGGGGCUAAUACCGGAUAGGAGCUCCUGCUGCAUGGUGGGGGUUGGAAAGUUUCGGCGGUAGGGGAUGGACUCGCGGCUUAUCAGCUUGUUGGUGGGGUAGUGGCUUACCAAGGCUUUGACGGGUAGCCGGCCUGAGAGGGGGACCGGGCACAUGGGGACUGAGGGAGGGAGCAGACUGGUACCGGCGGCAGCAGUGGAGAGUCUUACACAGUGGGCGGGAGCGAGAGGUAGCAACGCCGGGUGCGGGAUGCCCUGUUACGGGUUGUAAACAGCUGUCGCAGUUGCCGAGGAGGGAGUGACGGUAAUGGGUAAAGAAGCCCCGGCUAACUACGUG
rnacentral:rRNA from 1 species